rnacentral:tRNA from 1 species
GACCCGGUAGCUCAGGUGGUAGAGCAACUGACUUUUAAUCAGUGGGUCGAAGGUUCGAGUCCUUUCCGGGUCACCA